rnacentral:tRNA from 1 species
CAAAAGGUAGUUUAAUAAAAAUUCCGGUUUUGGGGGCCGGGGAUGAAGGUUUGGAACCCUUCUCUUUUGA